rnacentral:lncRNA from 1 species
GCCCCCGCCCCUCCCGCUCACUUCCCCUUUCCCUGCCCCAUCCCUCAUCUUGGGCCCCCCCAGUCUCUUCCCCGCCUCUGGCCUCUGCCCCCUGUGGGGGCCCCAUCUGGGGGCUAACCUGGCCCUCCCGACCUCAGGGAAUUGCCCACUCCUCUAGAGUUCCCGUUAUUUAUUACUAUUAGUUUUUAAAGUUUACUUCUCUCAUAGUUAUGCAGCCCUAAUAGCUUUCUCUUUUCCAUCUUCUGACUUUUUUUUUUAAAGUAGGCUCCACGCCCAGCAUGGAACCUAACGGGGGGCUCGAACCCGUGACCCCGAGAUCCAGACCUGCGCUGAGAUCAAGGGCCGGAUGUUCAACCGACCGAGCCACGCGGGCGCCCCUGGGGUUCCCUUUAGCACUAACUGCCUUGUCCUUCCCUCCUGUGACAUGGGCCCAUCACGGAUGGGACCCUGGGAGGAGGCGCUCGCCAGGGCACGCGUGGUAGGAAGGCGCGGCCCAUUCCGGGAGCCCCCGUGGCUGUUGAGCACUUGGCAAGCCCCUGCCUGCAAAUCUUCCUGCCUCUGUCUUGCCACGUUCCUGGGGGCAGCCCCUGCCUGCCGCGUGGGCACAGGACAGCUCUUCUCCGACCUCGGUUUCCCCUGUGCACGAGGAGGGGUGAGGCGACUGGAAACUUCGCCGCACCGCCCCGUGCGCCACGGCUAGCCGAGGGGCGGCUGUUUACAGUUAACGAAAAUGAAAUGAAAUUUUGAAAUUCACUUUCUCGGUGCCUCGGUCGGCUGGAGGUGCCGCGUCUCUGUGGCACAGCCUGAGGGGCUUUAUAGACACUCGUCCCCUCGUGGUUCUGGAGGCUGGAAAGCUGUGACCAAGAUGCCUCUGGGGCUCCGAGGUGGAAUCCGUACCAUGCUCUCUCCUAGAUUCUGGUGGUUUGCUGGAAUCUUCCGUGUCCCCCCGGCCCGUGGAAGCGUCCUCCCGAGCUCUGCCUCCACGUGGCGCUCUCCCUGGGCGUCCGUGCCCAAAUGCCUUCUUUCUCUAAGGACACCGAGCGACCUCAUUUUUAACGUGAUCACCUCUGUAAAGACGCUGUCUCCAAACACAGUCUCAUUCUGAGGACUCAGACGUGAGCUCUGAGGGGGACGCAGUUCAGCCCAUAACGUCCGGUCGCGCCAGGCACGUUUUAAGCACUCCAUAGUGACGUGUGGCUUGUGGCCACUGUCCGGGGUGGUGUAGACGCAGGACAUUUCCAUCAUCACAGAGAUUUCUGUUGCACAGAAACUCCAGGCAUGUGUCCAGGUGCACAAUAAACUGGGAUAUUCUUAUAUCUUUCCGACUCUU